rnacentral:rRNA from 1 species
UACGUAGGGGCAAGCGUUGUCCGGAUUUAUUGGGCGUAAAGAGCGUGUAGGCGGUUAGGUAGGUCCGUUGUGAAACUCGAGGCUCAACCUCGAGACGCCGAUGGAAACCAUCUGACUAGAGUCCGGAAGAGGAGAGUGGAAUUCCUGGUGUAGCGGUGAAAUGCGCAGAUAUCAGGAAGAACACCCGUGGCUAAGGCGGCUCUCUAGUACGUGACUGACGCUGAGACGCGAAAGCGUGGGGAGCGAACAGG